rnacentral:lncRNA from 1 species
GAGCCAAACCCAAGUCCUCUGCAAGAGCAGCAAGCACGCUUAUCUCCUAAGCCAUUUCUCCUAUUUGCUGAUCUGUUAACUUGCUUGCUUACAUCGACUUUACAACAGCUCGAAUCACCUGACAAUUAACCCUUCUUGCGAAUUGGUGACCACACAUUUUGCAUUGAAUAUUUCAUUAUUUAAAAAAAAAAAAAAAAAAAAAAAAAAAAAAAAAACCUUACUACAGACUUCUUUUCCACUGGGAAAGUAUGCUCAUAUUAAAGUUUGUUGAAGUAAUGUAUGCCCUUUUCUCAGUUUAAACAGAAUUUCUAAUCCAAGAUCUGUGCGGAUCUUGACAUCUGCCAGUUAAAAUAUUGACUUUAAAUAGAGAGGUCAUAAAAACUGUGAGAUUAAAAUGAUUCGGCGCUCUGAGUCCUUAUCACACAGCUCACAGUAAAUGGAGAUUGCGCAAUGCUGGGUUGAAGAAGCUGUAGGGUUCCGCUGUGCAGACGUGCUCCUAAGAUAUUCCAAAGCGGGUUUAAAUCACAGUGCGUCCUGAUGAGAGACUGAUAUUUUAAAAAUGCUCGGGAGCAAGAAUUUACUUUGUGUUGAAGGGUUGCUGAAAGGCAUUAAGAUAGUGCCACGAAGCUCUGGCAGGAAAAAGAGCAGUUCCCAAAGCCAAGCCACAGUUCUUGGGAUCAGAAUUAGAAAAUUUUGUGUAAGCGUCGUGGUUCACCAGAGAUGCCUUCCUUAACGGAAGUCUGUUUUCCACCUUCAUAUUGAUAUAAUUUAUGCAAGUCUGGGAAACCAAAUUCUACCUUAAUGUCACUUAAUGUUUGUCACUUGGGCCAAACUUUAGUGAUUUUUUUAUUUUGAAACCGAAAGUGAACUUUUGUGGCCCAAAUCUUACAUGCCACAUUAACUAUCUUGUCAAGAAUAGCUGCGUACCAGUGGGAUCCGGCAGUUAGUGAUAGCGACUCCUAUUGGAUCUUGGAGAAAGAAAGAUGUGGGAAGACUAGGCUGCUGGGGCAAGCUCCCUAACUUAAUUCUCCUUGUCUCUAGGUAACUGGACAGGCUACUUUGACUAUGUUCAUAAAUUCUAAGACAUUAAGUGAAACAUUUGUCAACAAUGUUUCCUAAUACCUGAGUUGGGAGACUUCAAAGUAGACAGAGCUUUAAAGUCUGGCUGGCCUCCCUUCUCUCAAAGUUUCUUCCUUUCCAUGCUAUCCCUUUCCCCCAAACAUUUUAGAUGUUUUGUUUGAACUUAAGGCAGGUCAUUUCUUAGGGUGGGCAUGCAGUCUUUAACCGGAAUUUCUCUGAAGAUUGAAGAUACCGAGCAGUUAUUGCUGUAGCGCCGUGAGAAUUUGCACCUGUCUAAGAGCUUAUCAUUAAAAUGCCACUUCUCUGAGGAGAGCAUUCAUGAUACUUUAGUGACCCAGUGCUAACCCUGAAGUCUGGAAGAUGGGAUGCCAGGGGAAUCCAAAAGUGACAUCAGGGGAAUGGUUGGUUCGGUGACACACACUAGUGAGAAUGUCACUGUUACCUGUUCUAGCAGGCACUUGCAGACAGACACUCUUUGACAAAGCUUUCUCAAGUCUUCCCUUUCAGUCUCUUUCUCCCUGUGUAUCACUCACUUUCCUGUUGCUGUUUAUGGGGACUGCCGACCUAUCAGGCUGGAUUCAAGGUUUUCAUCUUGGAUCUGUUUUUUGGGUUUUGUUUUUUCUGGAGGUAAACCACUUUGUUUGUUAUGAAAGUCUGGUCUAGCAUUUACUCUCCUAAGUUCACUGUUGUGUUGUUGCCUAGAUCAAGAAAACGGCCUUUGAGUUCCAAGAAACUGUCCUCCCAACCAUCUUCAAUUCCUUUCCAAGAACACUCAGCUAGCAAUGGGGGAGAUCUCUGUGUCUUUUUCUUGCUGGAGCCGUUUGUCCUUAUCCAUCAUGGGCAAUGUCCUAGGUAACUGAGAAGAGGGGAGAGGACCAAAAGGUUCAGGGACUUGCUUUGGUGCCGACGACCAUUGGUUUGGGUGAGCUUGAACUCGUCGAGAAAGAAGAGUUGAAAACCUUGUGAAUACAAAUGAAAAGUAAACAAGAAAGGGGCUUUAAACAGUUGCUUCAAAUGUAAAAAAAAAUCUACUUUAUAAUACAGUGAAGGAGCUUGCUGCUAAGCUUAGUCACCUGAGACCAGUCCCUGGGACCCACAGAGUGGGAG